UACGUAGGGGGCUAGCGUUGUCCGGAAUCAUUGGGCGUAAAGCGCGUGUAGGCGGCUCGAUAAGUCUGUUGUGAAAGCCCAGGGCUCAACCCUGGAAUGCCGAUGGAUACUGUCGAGCUAGAGUCCGGAAGAGGCGAGUGGAAUUCCUGGUGUAGCGGUGAAAUGCGUAGAUAUUGGGAGGAACACCAGUGGCGAAGGCGGCUCACUGGACCGGUACUGACGCUGAUGCGCGAAAGCGUGGGGAGCAAACAGG
rnacentral:rRNA from 1 species